rnacentral:rRNA from 1 species
AUUGAACGCUGGCGGCAGGCCUAACACAUGCAAGUCGAGCGGAUGAAGGGAGCUUGCUCCUGGAUUCAGCGGCGGACGGGUGAGUAAUGCCUAGGAAUCUGCCUGGUAGUGGGGGAUAACGUCCGUAAACGGGCGCUAAUACCGCAUACGUCCUGAGGGAGAAAGUGGGGGAUCUUCGGACCUCACGCUAUCAGAUGAGCCUAGGUCGGAUUAGCUAGUUGGUGGGGUAAAGGCCUACCAAGGCGACGAUCCGUAACUGGUCUGAGAGGAUGAUCAGUCACACUGGAACUGAGACACGGUCCAGACUCCUACGGGAGGCAGCAGUGGGGAAUAUUGGACAAUGGGCGAAAGCCUGAUCCAGCCAUGCCGCGUGUGUGAAGAAGGUCUUCGGAUUGUAAAGCACUUUAAGUUGGGAGGAAGGGAAGUAAGUUAAUACCUUGCUGUUUUGACGUUACCAACAGAAUAAGCACCGGCUAACUUCGUG